CCACAGGAUGUACUCAUGUGCGCUGUGUGGGCGGGGCUUCAAUAGGAGCAGCUACCUGCUGCAGCACAUGAAGGUCCACACGCCUGAGAGUUUCUCCACGAGUUAGAGGAACUCAAAACCGCUCCCGGAAUUGUGCUUACUCAGCAAACCUUCCCCAUCUCAUCUCAGUUUAAGUAUCAUCCUUCAGUUUCCGGGUCCAGGUCCAGUCGGAUCCAGGCAGAACUUCCUGUUGCUCUCAGUGAUGACUCUGCAGGAGAACACACAGCUUCUGGGUCAGAACCGGACCUGGGUCAGAAACGGACCGGCCAACUGGGUCCGAACGGGACCGGCUGACCGCCCAGCACCAGAACAAAGUUCAUAUUUUGAAGAAUCCUGCCAUGUUUGUCUGGUUCCAGUGGCAGCAGUUUAAAAUGAAACUUCGUCUUCCUCAUUUUAAAGAGACGGGUCAGAACAUUUCCUCCUGACUGAUACUGGGAACGCAGGUCUACUGGGAACACAGGUCUACUGGGAACACAGAUCUACUGGGAACGCAGGUCUACUGGGAACGCAGGUCUACUGGGAACCCGAUGAGGUAACUUCCUGUCUGGACAGUCACAUGAUCAGCUCGGGUGAGUCUUCACAGGUCAGGAGUUAACUAAAACUAACAAAAUAACUCAAACUGAAACAAAUAGAAAUAGUAAUUAACGGAAAAAUCAUUAACUAACUGGAAUUAAAUUGUGUUUGUCAAAGUAAAACAAACUGAAAUUAUUGAUACAUUUUGUUUCCAUGCUGAUUAUUUAUUGGCCUUUAGAACUGAUGUGAUUCUUUUCAGAAACGAGUCGACGGCCAUUUAAUGCUUCGUUUGGUCCUGAAUUUGACCCAACCUGAAACUAAAUGGUUUAAUUCUCCAGGCUUUUGAAAACUUUUUCUGCCUCGUCGUUUAAUACAAACUUUGCAGCUGCAGAUAGUUAGCUAUGUGGAUCACCUCGAUGCGGGUAGAUCCUCUAGGUUAUAAGAGAAGUCUUUUUCACACAGAGGAUACGGAUCAUAUUCUAAAUAUACACAUAUAUUUUCCACCAUUUCGGGUGUGAGCAACUCGUGAUCCGUUUAGCUUUGUUUGGAACUGGAGAAAUCCACUUCCAGAUCUCCAUCUGAAUUUCACUCGCCGUCCGUGUCUGAAACCCACCAAGAGCAAAGAUAACUUUUAGGGUUUCAGUGGAAUUAAGUUACUUCUUUAAGUAGUUUGACAUUUAUUUCCAUGCUCUUAUUUUGAAAUCUGAUUGUUUCUUUUUGAUAGUUCAGUUUCUGGUAAAUAACUGAUGACGGUACAAUAAGUCGGGUUCCAUAAAACACAAAAGACAGAGGAAAGGAGCUUUUAUUUUGAAAAGUCUGAAUGCAUCAUAGCUUUUAAUCAUCUGCACACAAACAGGAAAUUAGCCAAAUCAGAAGCUUUGAUCCGGACUCUGAGACGGUUCUGACCGUUCAGACAGAAACUCGCUGGUCAACUCGUCACAUCUGGUUUCAAAUAAAAUCACAUCUGUAAUGUCUCUGCUGCCACAAUAAUAAAUAAAAAAAACUUUUUAUUUUAUGAACAUUGUUCAUAAAGGAGAUGAGAUUCAACCAAAUACUGUUUCACAAACAGCUUCAUAAAAUCACCAGGAUGUCAUGAAUAAAGCAGCAACAACACAAGUCAACAUGUAUCAAAGUGAACGAGGCAUGAUGACCAACUACAAACCUGCAUCCACUGAACUCUGACCUCAUCCAGUUAUUGAGACCAGGAAGCAUCAAACCAGAUGUUUUUCAUGAUUUCAUUUAGUGUUUAAACGAUGAAACUGAACCGAUUUAUCCUCAGACA